rnacentral:snRNA from 8 species
CGACUCUGGUUUCUCUUCAUUACGCACAAGCCUUUCGCCUUUUAAUAAAGAUUUCCGUGGAGAGGAACAGUUAGGAGUUCAACGUAUUUUUGGAAGGGCUUUGGUUGUGGCAG